rnacentral:rRNA from 1 species
UACAGAGGUCUCGAGCGUUGUUCGGAUUCAUUGGGCGUAAAGGGCGCGUAGGCGGCGCAGAAGGUGGGGUGUGAAAGCCCUCGGCUCAACCGAGGAAUUGCGCUCCAAACUACUGUGCUAGAGGAAGCUAGAGGUGAGCAGAACAGAUGGUGGAGCGGUGAAAUGCGUUGAUAUCAUCUGGAAUACCGGAGGCGAAGGCGGCUCACUGGGGCUUUUCUGACGCUGAGGAACGAAAGCCAGGGUAGCGAACGGG